rnacentral:rRNA from 1 species
UACAGAGGUCCCAAGCGUUGUUCGGAUUUACUGGGCGUAAAGGGUGCGUAGGUGGUCGGGUAAGUCUGAUGUGAAAUCUCGGAGCUUAACUCCGAAACUGCAUUGGAUACUAUUCGGCUUGAGGGUUGGAGGGGAGACUGGAAUUCUCGGUGUAGCAGUGAAAUGCGUAGAUAUCGAGAGGAGCACCAGUGGCGAAGGCGAGUCUUUGGACAACUCCUGACACUGAGGCACGAAAGCCAGGGGAGCAAACGGG